AGUGAACGCUGGCGGUAGGCCUAACACAUGCAAGUCGAACGGCAGCACAGUAAGAGCUUGCUCUUACGGGUGGCGAGUGGCGGACGGGUGAGGAAUACAUCGGAAUCUACUUUUUCGUGGGGGAUAACGUAGGGAAACUUACGCUAAUACCGCAUACGACCUACGGGUGAAAGCAGGGGAUCUUCGGACCUUGCGCGAUUGAAUGAGCCGAUGUCGGAUUAGCUAGUUGGCGGGGUAAAGGACCACCAAGGGGACGAUCCGUAGCUGGUCUGAGAGGAUGAGCAGCCACACUGGAACUGAGACACGGCCCAGACUCCUACGGGAGGCAGCAGUGGGGAAUAUUGGACAAUGGGCGCAAGCCUGAUCCAGCCAUACCGCGUGGGUGAAGAAGGCCUUCGGGUUGUAAAGCCCUUUUGUUGGGAAAGAAAAGCAGCAGGUUAAUACCCCGCUGUUCUGACGGUACCCAAAGAAUAAGCACCGGCUAACUUCGUG
rnacentral:rRNA from 1 species